rnacentral:lncRNA from 1 species
UCACAACUGCUGUGGCAGUCAUAUCUCUGAUCUUGAACACUGAUGAAUGGCAAAGAAAAAGCGAAGGUAAGGCAAGAAUAUGCUCUGCAGCUACGAACCCAGAAAAGAGUUAACAGUGUGUGGUGGCUUAGAGAUCAUAGCCAUGAAACCAGAGGGAGUUUCCAGGAAGCAGCUGAGACAAAAAUGUACAGUUCUUCAUGUUUAAACAGCAGUCCUGUUGGAUCAUUUUCAGAACCAGUGCUGGAGACGCAAUACUUCAGAAAUAGCAACAUUUCUUUUAUUAGUUACUCUUGGAUUUUUAAAACAAUAAAGUGGCAGGUUACUUUAUUUUGAUAAAACAUUGCUCAGAAAAUAUUACAUUGUAAAUGUGACAUUAUGAUUUAAUCUUCUUUUUAAAUGAAAGGUUUUCUAAGGAAAUGGUUUGGAGCCUACCACAUUUAUCAGAUAUUUUUCAUUAUUGCAAUUCUGUAUCCAAAUUGCAUAGCCCAUUUUGGCAGAAGAGCAGAGAUUAUAAGACCAAGACCCACAGCUGCAAGAUACAAAAUGAGUUUUUCCAUCAGUUCCACAGGUUAAACUCCAGUUUGCCUUUUCCCAAACUGGUAGGGAAUUUAGAAAAGGAGACAACAUUUUCAAACAGGAAAGUAAAUCUUAUUUCUUUUCCAUGAUUAGCAAUAAUUUCCAACACUACCAAGGUUUCUAGAAGAAAUUCAACCCAAUUCCAUUGCUAUUUCUUUAUUGAAUCCUUCAAGUCCAAGUGUCUGAAAGCAGAUGUGAUGAUGAGAGUGACCUGAAAGUUGCUCAUCUGCACCAAUUCCAGUGAGAAUAACCUUUCUCACUGCUCUGAUACGAUUUCACUUCAUCCUGGGUUACUAACCAACCACUUCCUCUAGAAGCAAACCAGACUGCAAGUGAUUUAUUUGAGUUCUUAAGAAAUGUUAAUUUCAGCAAAACUUCUAAUUUG